AUUGAACGCUGGCGGCAGGCCUAACACAUGCAAGUCGAACGAGUGGCGGACGGGUGAGUAAUGUCUGGGAAACUGCCUGAAGGAGGGGGAUAACUACUGGAAACGGUAGCUAAUACCGCAUACCAUCGGAUGUGCCCAGAUGGGAUUGGCUAGUAGGGGGGGUAAAGGCUCACCUAGGCGACGAGCCCUAGCUGGUGUGAGAGGAUGACCAGCCACCCUGGAACUGAGACACGGUCGAGACUCCGACGGUAGGAAGCAGUGGGGAAUAUUGCACGAUGGGGGCAAGCCUGAUGCAGCAAUGCCGCGUGUAUGAAGAAGGACUGCGGGUUGUAAAGUACUUUCAGUGGGGAGGCGUUACCCUCAGAAGAAGCACCGGCUAACUCCGUGCCAGCAGCCGCGGUAAUAC
rnacentral:rRNA from 1 species